UCCGUCAAAAUUCCUUUAAGUUUUUGUCUGUUGCCGCCCCCGCCCGCCUACGGGAGGCAGCAGUGGGGAAUUUUCCGCAAUGGGCGCAAGCCUGACGGAGCAAGACCGCGUGGGGGAGGAAGGCUCUUGGGUUGUAAACCCCUUUUCUCUGGGAAGAACAAAAUGACGGUACCAGAGGAAUCAGCAUCGGCUAACUCCGUGCCAGCAGCCGCGGUAAGACGGAGGAUGCAAGCGUUAUCCGGAAUGAUUGGGCGUAAAGCGUCCGCAGGUGGCAGUUCAAGUCUGCUGUCAAAGACCGGGGCUUAACUUCGGACAGGCAGUGGAAACUGAACAGCUAGAGUAUGGUAGGGGCAAAGGGAAUUCCUGGUGUAGCGGUGAAAUGCGUAGAGAUCAGGAAGAACAUCGGUGGCGAAAGCGCUUUGCUGGACCAUAACUGACACUCAGGGACGAAAGCUAGGGGAGCGAAUGGGAUUAGAUACCCCAGUAGUCCUAGCCGUAAACGAUGGAUACUAGGUGUUGUCUGUAUCGACCCGGACAGUGCCGUAGCUAACGCGCUAAGUAUCCCGCCCCUGGA
rnacentral:rRNA from 1 species